rnacentral:rRNA from 1 species
UCCUACGGGGGGCAGCAGUGGGGAAUAUUGCACAAUGGGGGAAACCCUGAUGCAGCGACGCCGCGUGAGUGAAGAAGUAUUUCGGUAUGUAAAGCUCUAUCAGCAGGGAAGAUAAUGACGGUACCUGACUAAGAAGCCCCGGCUAACUACGUGCCAGCAGCCGCGGUAAUACGUAGGGGGCAAGCGUUAUCCGGAUUUACUGGGUGUAAAGGGAGCGUAGGUGGCAGGGCAAGUCAGAUGUGAAAACUAUGGGCUCAACCCAUAGCCUGCAUUUGAAACUGUAUUUCUUGAGUGCUGGAGAGGCA